GUUAUGCAGUUGACUACAUGAAGAGUAACCGUCCAAACUACAAAUUAGGAUUUGCUCCUUGCUCCAUUCCAAUUAUGGCCGAGCAUUUCCAGGAAUCCCACAUAUAUGCAGUGAUGUACCAUCUGUUGAUAGUAAUCCUUGGUAAUGAUCCACACAUCAGUCCACUGGGUUGCGUGGCUCACCCCUCAGGACACAGGAUGUGCAUUUAACUUAAAUGGAGCUGUAGCCAUGGUAAAUUGUGUCCACUCUUAAAGAUGUCACCUCUUCUGCACACUCCAGAGGACCAGUUCCUUCGUGACUCCAUGGAGACCAGGCAGACGGGGCAGCGGGAUGGUCUAGUAUAUUCUGUAGCUAAAGCUUCUUUCCAUUUCCAGGCUGCACAUUUCCAGCUCUGAAAUUCUACUGUGUGUUUCUUC